rnacentral:rRNA from 1 species
GAUGAACGCUAGCGACAGGCUUAACACAUGCAAGUCGAGGGGUAACAGGGUAGCAAUACCGCUGACGACCGGCGCACGGGUGAGUAACGCGUAUGCAACCUGCCUAUAACUGGGGAAUAGCUCCCUGAAAGGGGAAUUAACACCGCAUAAUACUAUUGAUUCGCAUGGAUUAGUAGUUAAAUGUAGCGAUACAGGUUAUAGAUGGGCAUGCGUGACAUUAGCUAGUUGGUGAGGUAACGGCUCACCAAGGCUACGAUGUCUAGGGGUUCUGAGAGGAAGGUCCCCCACACUGGUACUGAGACACGGACCAGACUCCUACGGGAGGCAGCAGUGAGGAAUAUUGGUCAAUGGGCGCAAGCCUGAACCAGCCAUGUCGCGUGCAGGACGACUGCCCUAUGGGUUGUAAACUGCUUUUAUAGUAGAAGAAACACAUCUACGUGUAGAUGUCUGCCAGUAUACUAUGAAUAAGCAUCGG